rnacentral:lncRNA from 1 species
GACCUGGGGUCCCUGCUUCUCCAGGUGCUCCCGGAUUUUGCUCUCUAGCCUCCGGUUCUCGGUCUCCAGGCUCCUCACUCUGUCCAGAUGUGGGCCACCAGCCUUAAGCCAGAGGGAGCUUUGUAAGACAGGAACAUAUAAAAUGAUAAAAGCUUCUCUACGUACAGUUUUCCUGACUCUGAUUCUGCGUGGGACAACCAGUGAAAAUUGCAGGUGAAGAGAAGAAAUGCGUAUUUAUUCCUCCACUGGGAAAAAAAAUACCAUCCAAAGCUACAUGACUUGAGAGACAAGGUCUCACUAUGUUGCCCAGGCUGGCCUCGAACUCCCGGGCUUCAGCAGUCCUCCCGCCUCACCCUCCGAUGUAGCUAGGACUACAGGACCGCGACCCGGCGCUGCCUAAGAACUGUUUUUAAACGUGAAAGCCACGGCUAUCAUUUGCUUUUUGCUCUGCUCUUCAUCUUCUGGAUAAACCUCGUAACACACUGCUUGUUUUGGGUGGUAGUCUGCUGCCUACGCCCCGUCAGACAAGUGGCCUGAGUCCCCCGCAACCCCUGCAGGUCCGGCCGCCGGCGCCAAGCCUCAAGGCAUCCAAGCCAGGAACGAUCGCGGUCAGCUCUGCCACGGAACAUGUGCAAGACCCGGCAGCAGGUUCCGGGGGAGGCGAAUUGAUUUCACAACGGUCGAGAAGGAGGACCCCGCCCACUUCGUCAUUUCUCGGAAGCCCAGGGACUCGCCGGAAGAGCGGCUCAAAAGCCGGAAAACUGGCAAAUCCGAGUCUCCCGGCGCAUGCGCGGCGCAAUCGGCUUCGCGUGGUUGCAGUAGAGAGGAUCCCUCCGCCAGCCACUGCAUCCGGCGGCCGGAUCUAACUUACCCGCUAGCGUUUUACCCUUGCGCGGCCGUGGCGUAGGGCGGUCUUUUCCCUUGGUCCUCCGCGGCGCCGCCUCUUGUGACGUAAGCCGCAGAAUCCUCUGUCUUAGUUCGGCUCUAUUGCCGCGAGCUUGACUCUUCCUGGGUCUGAGGAAAAGUAAAAGUAAUUUUGUCAUUUCCUGAAACUUCAAGUUAAACCUUUAAGCUGUUCAUUUCCUAAAAGGGUGAAAACGCGGGCACCCCUCGAGCUAGUUCAUCGCCUUUUAACCUGUUGUUGGAUCUUUCCAGAUCACCACACCACAUCACCCAGCCACUCUGCCCAAUGGGAGGGCAGACAGUGUUCCAGUGUAGGAGGAAGGGGUGUAAGGUGCGGGCAGUUUGUGAGGAGGGCACCAACGAGAGCUACUGUGAGAAAGUCUGCAUGGUCAAAAAGUGGAUUACCAAGAACAAAGCAUCAUAAUGUUGUCCAGUGGACCCCAGGUUACAAUUUGGUUUGACUUUGAAACAAAAAGUUAUCAUGUACACAGAAAAGCACAGAAGCAGAGGAGUGGAAUGAAGUGUGAUAUUAGUGAACGAAAGAGCCAACAUUGAAGUGACCACAGUUCCAUAUGGUCUUGCAAAGCAACCACUGAAUGUUUUGCCUAAAAAGGAAGACAUCAACAUUGGUGGAAGGUACCUGAAAGCCAGAGCUAAAAGAGCCUAUUGAAACAAUCACUACAUGGCAGCCUGUGGGACAUGGAGCUGGGCAGGAGAGAUGGAAAACAGAAGCGAUCAGGCACUGAUUAUAUGUCAAAUUCAACAAAGUUCAGAUAUACGAGGGAACUUCAAAAGUUCAUGAAAAAAAUGGAAUUAGAAGAUAAAAAUAAAAAGUGGAAACUGUAUUUCUCAACAUAAACUC